rnacentral:rRNA from 1 species
GUACAUCCAGAGAACUUAGGCAGAGAUGCUUUGGUGCCUUCGGGAACUCUGAGACAGGUGCUGCAUGGCUGUCGUCAGCUCGUGUUGUGAAAUUGUUGGGUUAAGUCCCGCAACGAGCGCAACCCUUAUCCUUUGUUGCCAGCGGUUCGGCCGGGAACUCAAAGGAGACUGCCGGUGAUAAACCGGAGGAAGGUGGGGAUGACGUCAAGUCAUCAUGGCCCUUACGGCCAGGGCUACACACGUGCUACAAUGGCGCAUACAAAGAGAAGCGACCUCGCGAGAGCAAGCGGACCUCAUAAAGUGCGUCGUAGUCCGGAUUGGAGUCUGCAACUCGACUCCAUGAAGUCGGAAUCGCUAGUAAUCGUAGAUCAGAAUGCUACGGUGAAUACGUUCCCGGGCCUUGUACACACCGCCCGUCACACCAUGGGAGUGGGUUGCAAAAGAAGUAGGUAGCUUAACCUUCGGGAGGGCGCUUACCACUUUGUGAUUCAUGACUGGGGUGAAGUCGUAACAAGGUAGGCGUAGCGAG